CCACCAUCUCCUUUUUCAAUUUUUUUUGGCUGCUACUAUAGCCUUAACUCUAGAGCUCAGUCCUAAAAUUGAGUUGAGAACUAAACUAAUUGGUCCCAUACUACAAUGCUUAAGAAUCUUUAUCUAUUUUUAUUUUUGUGCUCAAUGACCUUUUAAAAUGCUAUCAUUUCUCUUGUAGGUACUUGCAAGGAUAUGAUUACAACUUCACCUUUCUAACCAUAAAGGGUGCAGGAUAUACAGUCCCAGAGUACAAGGUAAGAAAAUCACUAGACUUCUACCGCUGUUGGUUGGAUGAAAUGUCGCUAAAAUUAUACACAACAAAAAAUGUUAUGGGAAUUGAGGGAAAAGCAAACAUCGUCUUUGUCACCUUUUUUUUUCUAGUCAUCAAGUUGGGUAUAUAUAUAUAUAUAUAUAUAUAUAUAUAUCCUUAAUUUCUUUUAUUAUUUUCCUUCAAGUCAAAUUAGUGAAAUCAUUGCAUUAGCAUCUAAUAAUAUGAAGUUCACAAUCUUUUCCAAUGAAAUCAAUUUUUUAACAUGAAAAUUUGAAUUUUAGAAAUGCUUGUGGAAGGUAUAUAUAUGUAUAUAUAUAUUCUUCCCUUUGAGAUUCUUUACUUUGUGCCAAGUUGAUUGGAUGUGUAACUGGCGAUUAAAUGUUGAUAGUUAAUAGCAAUAGCUAUCAAAUAAAGCGAGUCCAUUUUAAGGAUAUGAUUAAAUCACUUUGCUUGGCCUAAUGCAACUAUUUUGAAACUGCUUUCUAAAUUAACCAAACCUCUAUUGUAUGAUUUGUAUCCUGCUGAAGCCAAGGUACAAGUGUAGUGGUUGGGAAAUCUGCCAUUUUUUUUUU